rnacentral:rRNA from 1 species
CAGCAGCCACGGGAAUACGAAGGGUGCAAGCGUUACUCGGAAUUACUGGGCGUAAAGCGUGCGUAGGUGGUUGUUUAAGUCUGCUGUGAAAGCCCUGGGCUCAACCUGGGAAUUGCAGUGGAUACUGGGCGACUAGAGUAAGGUAGAGGAUAGUGGAAUUUCCGGUGUAGCAGUGAAAUGCGUAGAUAUAGGAAGGAACAUCAGUGGCGAAGGCGACCACCUGGACUGAUACUGACACUGAGGUGCGAAAGCGUGGGGAGCAAACAGGAUUAGAUACCCCUGUAGUCCCUGUCUCUUAUAC